AUUUUAUUGAGAGUUUGAUCCUGGCUCAGGAUGAACGCUGGCGGCGUGCUUAACACAUGCAAGUCGAACGGAGUGCUCAUGACGGAGGAUUCGUCCAACGGAUUGAGUUACUUAGUGGCGGACGGGUGAGUAACGCGUGAGGAACCUGCCUUGGAGUGGGGAAUAACAGCCCGAAAGGGUUGCUAAUACCGCAUGAUGCAGUUG
rnacentral:rRNA from 1 species